rnacentral:rRNA from 1 species
AGAGUUUGAUCAUGGCUCAGGAUUAACGCUGGCGGUAUGCCUAACACAUGCAAGUCGAACGGAAUACUAAUUAAGAGAAUCUCACACUAGUGAGAGGUUCUCACGAGUAGUAUUUAGUGGCGGACGGGUGAGUAACACGUUGGAACCUGCCCCGAAGUGGGGAAUAACUGCUCGAAAGAGUAGCUAAUACCCCAUAGUAUCCGGUUUAUCCGGAUUAAAGAUUUUAUCGCUUCGGGAGGGGCCUGCGUCUGAUUAGCUUGUUGGUGAGGUAAAAGCUCACCAAGGCGACGAUCAGUAGCUGGUUCGAGAGGAUGACCAGCCACACUGGGACUGAGAUACGGCCCAGACUCCUACGGGAGGCAGCAGUGAGGAAUCUUCCACAAUGGACGAAAGUCUGAUGGAGCAAUACCGCGUGCAGGAAGACGCUUUUCGGAGUGUAAACUGCUUUUGUCGUCGAAGAUUAUGACUGUAGACGAAGAAUAAGGACCGGCUAACUACGUG